UCCAUCACUUAAACACUUAUUCUAUCAGAGCUGCUGGAGAGGCAAGGAUCAAGGACCUCAGGAGAGAUAGGAAAGUCUCCAACAGUCAAUAUCAAAUAUUUGAGAUCAUCAUCUUAUAUGGAUAGGUUUUGUGGUACCCCAAAAGAAUUACAGCAGUAACAUCAAAGAUCACCAUAAAAGAUAAAAUAAUCAUUGAAAACUUGUAGGAAUUACCAAAAUAGGACACAGAGACACCACGCCGUUGGGAGAUGGCACCCAAAAAGACCUGCUUGAACACUUGUUGCAAACCUUCAAUUUGUUAAAAAGAAAAAUGAUAUAUAGCGACAGCCAUGAUAAGGACCUGUAUUGCUUUGGAGGCAGCCCUUGACUGCAAUCUGAAUAACUGCCAACUCCUUGAGGGUCAAGUCGUUUUAUCCCCUUGUCUUUAAAUAUCUAGAACAGUGUUUUGCAAAUAAUCAGUGAUUAAUAAAUACUUAUUGGUUGUAUUAGGUUGAACUGUGCCAGAUUAAAAUGGUGAUAAGAA